GACGAACGCUGGCGGCGUGCUUAACACAUGCAAGUCGAACGGAAAGGCCCUGCUUUUGUGGGGUGCUCGAGUGGCGAACGGGUGAGUAACACGUGAGUAACCUGCCCUUGACUUUGGGAUAACUUCAGGAAACUGGGGCUAAUACCGGAUAGGAGCUCCUGCUGCAUGGUGGGGGUUGGAAAGUUUCGGCGGUUGGGGAUGGACUGGCGGCUUAUCAGCUUGUUGGUGGGGUAGUGGCUUACCAAGGGUUUGACGGGUAGCCGGCCUGGGAGGGUGACCGGCCACAAGGGGACUGAGAUACGGACCAGACGCCUACGGGAGGCAGCAGGCGGGAAUAUUGCACAAUGGGCGGAAGCCUGAUGCAGCAACGCCGCGUGCGGGAUGACGGCCUUCGGGUUGUAAACCGCUUUCGCCUGUGACGAAGCGUGAGUGACGGUAAUGGGUAAAGAAGCACCGGCUAACUACGUG
rnacentral:rRNA from 1 species